CAGCCCUGUAAGGUAGGUCAUGUUUCAAAAUUAACAAUAAUAUUUAAAAUUUACACUAUAAUUAAGCAUUUCGCUACAGCAUACUUUGUGGCUGUGUACAUUACUUUUAAACAUCUCUUUGCAGUAAUUUAUGACUAUAUUGUUUGGAUCAAAUGAAAACAGGUGGAAAGAUGUGGAUUUCUUGCAUGCCAUUAGGAAGCCUGAGGACAGUUUUAACACUCCCGGAUAAGAUUGUUUCUCCUCGUCACCUCUCACAUUCUCUUCUCGUCAUUCUGGACAUUCUGAAACCUCAAAGAUCCACAUCUGAGUUUUAUCUGAAAAACUA
rnacentral:lncRNA from 11 species